ACACCUCAACUCUCAUGGCCCGCCAUGAUGAGCUUGGACUUUGGGGGUCUUGCUGGCCUGCAGGUCAGCUCCUCUCAAAUAAAUUAGCUUGCCAGUGUCUGGAGGCAUCACAGGUGUGAUAACUAUCUACGCUUGUGGUUUUCCCCCAGGUAACCUUCAGCAAUGGAGGUUCACCGGAGCUCAUAAAUGUCUCUCCUCGGUGAGGACAGAUUUUGACC
rnacentral:misc_RNA from 1 species